rnacentral:rRNA from 1 species
UACGGAGGGUGCAAGCGUUGUUCGGAUUUAUUGGGCGUAAAGGGCGUGCAGGCGGUCUCGCAAGUCCGAUGUGAAAGCCCCGGGCUCAACCCGGGAAGUGCAUCGGAAACCGCGAGACUUGAGUACGGGAGAGGGCAGUGGAAUUCCUGGUGUAGGGGUGAAAUCCGUAGAUAUCAGGAAGAACACCGGCGGCGAAGGCGGCUGCCUGGACCGAUACUGACGCUGAGACGCGAAAGCGUGGGGAGCAAACAGG